rnacentral:lncRNA from 1 species
UUUGUGGAUCCUUACAUACAUAUGUUGUCUAAUCGAGCCAUGGAUCCAAAGGAACUCAGCAUAUAAUUAAAUCAAGAUGUGCAUGUGUGGUGGAGUAAAUGAUAGUGAUGGUAAAAAUGUAUAAGUGAUGAUAAAACUUACUUCUCAUUGCUCCUCAUAUUGCUAUCUCUCCUCCUCUCUUGAUCUUUGCCUUGGGAGAACAUGGGCUAUCUCUUUUUUUUUCAGGUGGGUAGUAAAUACCCCUAAUUCUACUGUCAGACACUUGUCCAUUUUUUCCGCUCAGGUGGGCAUCUUUGUACCCCUAAUUCUACUCCGGACACUUGUCCAUUUUUACCUCUCGUCUCACUCUCUUUUUCUUUCUUUUUCGAGGUUCCGGGCACUUGCCUCUUUUUAUUUCUUCGCAUAUUUUUACAUAACCCAUGUCUCUUCUGCAUUGAAUCUUUUUGGAUAAAGAGAAUAACAACACUUGGGACAGUGAGUGAUAAUAUUAUUUUUAGUAAUUUGAAUGCAUGGUGAUGAAUAGUGUAGUGGAUGUGUGCAAGUGAAUAUCUUAAUUUAACCACAUGAAAAGCUCCUACAGCUCGAUCAAACUUAAUGUGAAUAUAGUAAAGGGUGUUAUAGCAAGUAUGGCUGUGGUAGGAAUUUUUUCAUGCUAGGAACUCAUCAUGUGAUUUGCAAGUUUUCAAAAUAAAUCUCCAGAACUAAGUGUAGUAGGAACAGGAUAAAUAGUAGCUCAAACUUUAUAUCAUGCCUUCUUCUUACCUAGACUUUAGUUUUAGGUUCAUGCUUCCCAUAGAUAUUUUAGUUUUUUUAGUAAUUUCUGGAAGAACUCUAAUAUAAAAGCUAGGUACUCGAAAGUAAGCAAACAGAGCAAUUGUUCAUCAUUUCCAUUAUGUAUUUUUUUGGUCUUUUUAUUUUUUCUAGAGAUUAACACUUAGC